rnacentral:rRNA from 1 species
GACGAACGCUGGCGGCGUGCCUAAUACAUGCAAGUCGAGCGAAUGACGAGAAGCUUGCUUCUCUGAUUUAGCGGCGGACGGGUGAGUAACACGUGGGCAACCUGCCCUACAGAUCGGGAUAACUCAGGGAAACCUGGGCUAAUACCGGAUAAUCCUUCGAAUCACAUGUUUUGAAGUUGAAAGGCGCUCAGGCGUCACUGUCGGAUGGGCCCGCGGUGCAUUAGCUAGUUGGUGGGGUAACGGCCUACCAAGGCAACGAUGCAUAGCCGACCUGAGAGGGUGAUCGGCCACAUUGGGACUGAGACACGGCCCAAACUCCUACGGGAGGCAGCAGUAGGGAAUCUUCCACAAUGGACGAAAGUCUGAUGGAGCAACGCCGCGUGAGUGAUGAAGGUUUUCGGAUCGUAAAACUCUGUUGUAAGGGAAGAACAAGUACGUUAGGAAAUGAACGUACCUUGACGGUACCUUAUUAGAAAGCCACGGCUAACUACGUGCCAGCCGCCGCCGUAA